UCGAACGGGAUCAUUAGCGCUUUUGUGUUUUUGGUGAGAGUGGCGAACGGGUGAGUAACACGUGAGUAACCUGCCCUUUUCUUUGGGAUAAGCCUGGGAAACUGGGUCUAAUACUGGAUGUUCCGGCUUCCUCGCAUGGGGUUGUUGGGAAAGGUUUUUUCUGGAUUGGGAUGGGCUCGCGGCUUAUCAGCUUGUUGGUGGGGUGAUGGCUUACCAAGGCUUUGACGGGUAGCCGGCCUGAGAGGGUGGUCGGUCACACUGGGACUGAGAUACGGCCCAGACUCCUACGGGAGGCAGCAGUGGGGGAUAUUGCACAAUGGACGGAAGUCUGAUGCAGCGACGUCGUGUGGGGGAUGAAGGCCUUCGGGUUGUAAACUCCUUUCGCCCGCGGAAAGGCAGGGUUUUGGCCUUGUUGAUGGUAGUGGGUAAAGAAGCGCCGGCUAACUACGUGCCAGCAGCCGCGGUAAUACGUAGGGCGCGAGCGUUGUCCGGAAUUAUUGGGCGUAAAGGGCUCGUAGGCGGUUUGUCGCGUCUAGCGUUUAAGGCUCGGGCUUAACCCGGGUUUGCGUUGGGUACGGGCAGGCUUGAGUGCGGUAGGGGUAACUGGAAUUCCUGGUGUAGCGGUGGAAUGCGCAGAUAUCAGGAGGAACACCGGUGGCGAAGGCGGGUUACUGGGCCGUUACU
rnacentral:rRNA from 1 species